rnacentral:lncRNA from 1 species
UGAGAAAUGUGGCCUAUCUAUGGAAGGAAUCUUUCGUUACUAGAACCCCUUCCUAGUGACUGUAAGCGAAAUGCAUUUAGCGAACGCCUGGGGGUACUGAGUUCCAUACUUUUUAUUAUAGAAAUGUUAUCUCUAUCUAAACGACUAAGUCUUCCAGUGAUCUCUCCCCCACCCAAAACCAUCCCUUCCAGCGUUAGCGCACAAGAAGGAGCUUUUGGCAGUGAGUCGAAAGUCUUAGUGAGAAGCCCUCUUAAGACUCUUUCCACUCUUCUCUGAGUGCCUUCAACAGUGCUUAGGUAGCGCUCACUGCGAGAUAGGCAGCUCAGCUUACUAUUAUUCCUACCCUAAUGUGUCAAGAAUAGAAUAGGUAGCACAGGUCAGCAAGCAUAGCUAGAUCUAAGGUAUUUGCAUCAGAAAGUCUAUCCUACCCCAACCCACUUCUUGGUUCUUUCUACUAUAUAUAAUAUGUGACCAGAGAAAUGGGGAGAUAGGAGAGUCUCGAUCAUGUGAGAGAAUUAGGUAUGGAAAACUGACUCACAUACGAAUAACUCUUCUUAAGGCAGGAGCCUAGCCUAUUUUUUCAGAAAUGCAAGAGAGAGUACGCUAAUGUAGGAGUGUGCUGCCUAGCAAAGUACUACUCUUAGCAACUAGCUUUACUGAAAGCCUUAGUAAGUCAGUCUAGAAACUUCCUCUUAGCUUAAGGGGUGGGUUGGUUAGGUUUAUUGCACCAAAAAGUCAAGGAACUAAGAAC